UCCCUGGAGGAUUAGUGGUUAGGCCACAGCGCUCUCACUGCUGUGGUCUGGGUUCAAUUCCUGGCCAGGGAA
rnacentral:tRNA from 1 species